rnacentral:piRNA from 1 species
UAGCAGCUUAAACAUAUAGUGUUAUCUCUG